CCCGCUGAACUUAAGCAUAUCAAUAAGCGGAGGAAAAGAAACUAACAAGGAUUCCCCUAGUAACUGCGAGUGAAGCGGGAAAAGCUCAAAUUUAAAAUCUGGUGGCCUCUGGUCAUCCGAGUUGUAAUUUAGAGAAGCGUCUUCCGCGCUGGACCAUGCACAAGUCUCCUGGAAUGGAGCGUCAUAGAGGGUGAGAAUCCCGUCUUUGGCAUGGAUGCACCAGGGCUUCUGUGAUGCGCUCUCAAAGAGUCGAGUUGUUUGGGAAUGCAGCUCAAAAUGGGUGGUGAACUCCAUCUAAAGCUAAAUAUUGGCGAGAGACCGAUAGCGAACAAGUACCGUGAGGGAAAGAUGAAAAGCACUUUGGAAAGAGAGUGAAACAGUACGUGAAAUUGUUGAAAGGGAAACGCUUGAAGUCAGUCGCGUCGACCGAGACUCAGCCUUGCCUCGGCUUGGUGUAUUUCUUGGCCCGACGGGUCAGCAUCAAUUUUGCCCCUUGGAUAAUGGCUAGGGAAAUGUGACACCUUUAUAGGUGUGUUAUAGUCUCUCGUCGCAUGCAAGGGUCAGGAUUGAGGAACUCAGCAUGCACCUUCGGGUGUCGGGGCUUUUGUCCACGAUACAUGCUUAGGAUGUUGGCGUAAUGGCUUUAAACGACCCGUCUUGAAACACGG
rnacentral:rRNA from 1 species